GUAAUUAACUAUUUUCUUUCUUUUUUCUUUUUUAGGAAUAGGGUCUCAUAGGACAAUGUCUCAGUACAACCUCAAACUUCUUGGCUCAAGCGACCCUCUCGCCUCAGCCCCCCUAGUAGCUGGGACUACGGGCACACCACCAUGUCUAGCUGGGACUACAGGCACACCACCAUGCCUGGCUAAUUAAUUUUUUUUUUUUUUUUUUUAGAGAUAGGGUCUUGCUCUGUUGCCCAGGCUGAUCUCGAACUCCUGGGCUCAAGCAAUCCUCCUGCCUCAGCCUUCCAAAAUGUUGGGAUUAUAGGCGUGAGUCACUGCACCUGGCCUUGUAAUGAUCUAAUUUCUUGUAUGGUUUAUUUAUCAGGGUCUGCCUUCCUAACAGGCUGUAGGUUCCUCAAGGGUUGGGACUGUGCCUGUGUUCUGGGCACCUGCCCAUGCCUGGCAAUUUGAAGAAGCUCAAUUGCUACAUGUUGAAGGAAUGAAUAAUUGCAUGAGCAACCAUCGAUAAUUGCAUGCUACAACCAUCAAACUUGCAGGGUUCUUCCAUGGAAUAAGUGAGGUAAUUAUGUGUAAAAAUGAAUGAAUGUUGUACUUGUUAUAAAAUAAGAUCAUGGGCUGGAGAAAUAGUCCAGCGAAUGAGUGAACGAAUCAAUGGCCUCAGCUGCCCGAGUGGGCGGAGCUUACGUUCUUUCCACAAGGGAAGUUCCCUAGGAGUUUCCGUCAGUAGCUCCCGAGCACGCCGGAGGCCUGGCCUGUGGAUGAGAUUGUUCCUUAUUUCCCCAGCUUCAGCACCACAGAAGAGACCAGAGUCUACCUUGCCAGCUCCUCUAGCACCGACCACGUGCCAAUUCAUGUCCUGAAUGCUCACUUCACUUCUUCACCUUGCUUCACUUCACUUACUGCACGGGAACAGAAAAGCCUAGAGAGGAUGGAUUACCUGUGCGGUUGCCUCCCUCUGCAGAGUGGGCGUGUCUCAGGAGCUUCUCUUCUUCUCCAGCCCAGUGCGGCCUCGUGUCAUCCAUAGGACCCACCGGCAGAGGGCAGGGCCUGCGAGUGGGGCCAGCCUCCUGGUGACUCUCGCCUCCUCUUUUCCAGCGGACGCUACCAGAGGACGAAGGUCUGACUCUGGCCAACGGCCCAGAAUUUCUGGCCCAGUUUUGCCUGAGGAAGCCAACUGUGCAGGAGGUCAGGAUCCCGGUAGGGUGAGAGUGGGAAAGUUAACAUUCCCAAGAGACUCCAAGCAACAGGAUUUCCUGACCUGGGACUAUUACCUUUCUCACAUUACAUGGCCAGAUUUACUUCCUGCUAUUAUUAAAAGUACGAAAAAGAUGAAGAUAUGUGUUUAAUGGAAACAAGGGCAAGAGUUUGCCUGACUGGACUUUGAGGAGGCUGUAGGAUCAUGGCGCUAACGGCAUUUGGAGGGCUGGGAAGGGACUCUAGCCCUGGCUUUACCUGCCUUUGUCAUCAGCUGGAGCAAGCAACUCCGCAACCUCGGAGCCUCAGUUUCCUUUUCUGUAAAAGGCGGGGAGGGUGGGUGGUAAGUGCAAUGCUGAAUCAGAACUCAUAGAGCUGCUGGGUGGACAUGUGAAGUAAAAGAGGAGACAGCUUUUGCUCCUGAAGGAUGCCAUUUGCGUUUUCCUCAUCAGUUUGAUCUCCUCCAAUCAUCCAGCACCUCCAUCUGACCUUCUCAGCUGAGAGGUCCUCAGUGUUUCUGUGGCCUCCAGGAGAAAGGUCCCCCUCCCCGGCUGAGGCCAGGCUGAUGGCAGGCUGCACGGCCAGCCUUCCACAGUCACCUGAAGGAUACAGAAAAGGAAGAGCUGGAGGCUUCUAGCAAGCUGCCGAACUGUGUCCUCCAGCUGCGCCCAGCCCCCUGGAGGUAGCGCCGGAGCACGUGGUGGUGGCUAUGUAGGAAGGCCCCUUUCGAGCCGCCCUAUACUGUCUUUGGGAUCUGCUUUUUACUGCCACAGCCUAUGUGCUCCUGAUUCUUCUCUCAAUCCCUGGAUGGAAACCGGCCUCUGAUACUUGGCUCUGCUUCCUUGGAGGAGCUACUUAACCAUUCAGUCCUCUCUGCAGUUAGCUAUUAAGGUUGUCCUGCGAACUGAAGCAGAGAGUCCCCGCAAAGGGUGCAGAGUAGGGCACCCACAGAGGAGCCUCUAAAGCACUUUCCAUGAGGUGGAUGGCUUCUCCUCCCCAAGGGACCCAGGAAGGAAAGGAGAGCUGCUUCUGCCUCCCCAGCAGAGAGGGACCUUCCCAGAGAAGAUGUCUUGCGCCUCACCUGAUCUUGUUCUGAGAGUAGGAGACUGGAAGAGAAGCGUUCAACUCCCCAAACACAGCUGGGUUUGUUUCGUUUAAUCUCCCAGCCUGUUUUUCUGCUGUCCUCCUGAAGAAUGUUUAAUCUCACAGUUAAAACCACCAAAAGCGACUUUUUUCCCCCUCAACUGCUCAGUAACACAUGACCGUGCAAAUUCGUUUGGCCCCAGCGCCACAAGUCAUAAAAGGCAUCUAGUGGGCGGCAUGAGUCAAUCAGGCCUUUGGACGGUGACGUAACCACAGCUUGUCAGUUUCCCCAUCCAGGCAGCCCCAAUCCCCCAGUGCAGACAUCUGGAGCCAGGGAUUGACAAGUGGAUUCCAGGAUUGGGCCCUGCCUCCCGCCCUGUUCAGUUCCAGCCCAGCCACGGCCGCCGCCAACGAGGACACGCACUGUCUUUCUGCACAUUCCCACGUACACACACCCCCGCAGCCCCCUCUCCACUCAUUCCUGCAUUUCCGGCAAUGUGAAUUCUGACAGCUCGGGCAGUGUCAGCCUCUCCGGUGCAUUCCUCACCACACCACCUCACUGCUCCCGAGCCUGCUGACAGCACUCCCCGCCAUACCUACCAAGCCGAAGGUGCAAGGAACCUCUUGAUCCCCACUGUGUCUUUGUCCCAGGGCCACAGCAAAAUAGCACCCCCCUCCCCCACACACCCUCUAGCCUAAUUUAUUAGACUUUUAAACACAUUUAUUUACUGUGAUAUCUACACCACACCAAACAUCUGGAGGGAAACCGGGAGACAAUCCACCAGGAAUUUAAAUGUUUGUUCUGCAAUGUAACUUUGAAAACCGAACCAGGAAAACUUGACAUCUUUAGCCAAUUGCUUGGUGUGUUCCAGGAAUGUUCCUACCCCUGCGUCUUUGCUGAAGCCCCUCUUGCCUGGGAUGCCCUCUGUCCUCUCUUUCUGCCCACACACAUCCUGCCAGUCCUUCAGACAGGGCCAGCCUCACGGGCAUAGGACCUGAGCAGUUUCACAGGGCCCUAUGCACAGAAGGAUCCCAAGCUCGGUUGAUUGCUCCGAUCUUGCCAUCUUGAAACUCUUUGAUAAUUUUAUCUUUUAUCUUGUGUUUUGGGAGUGAAAUCCAAUGGGAUAUUGGGGCCUGCAAAGGAGAAGAGGAGAUCCGCACAAACCCGUUCCUGGCUGCUGCAUUCACCUCCAGCGUUUGUGAUGCCCCAGAGCACAGAACUCCAGGGAGCCCACGAUGCAGGAGAGUUCAGCGACAUUCACUGAGUACAAGAGAAGUGAGUUACUCCUGCAGCUGAGCACGGGGGGCGCUGGCAACUGCGAAAGGUCUCGCUUUCCAUUCCAACCAGAACUUGCUCCUAGCGCAGACAGAAGGCCGUGGCAUUCUGAGAAACACACAUGAUGAAGGAGCCCUGUCAUAUCCUCUCUUCCUUGCAUCGCUUCCCCGUGUGAGCAACCACUUGUGCUGGAAAUGAUGACAAGGAAGGACCGGGAAAGACAGGGCCACCCGCAGUUCCUUUUCCUUGACGUCUUUCCUUCCUCAUCAGCGAGCUGAGGUGGAGAGCGUUGGUAGAAUGUGUGCAUAAUAAGAAGUGAAAUAAAAACAGUCGAGUUAGUAUUCUACUGUUUCCACUGUUCUGGUGAGAACAAAACACAUAUGCUGUAUAUGCUUUGAAAUACAAAGUGUGUAAUUUUAGUGAUUCUGCAUAGGAGUUAAAUGUUUUUAUAUUUGCAGACUGUUGGGAGGCACCAAUGGACUUUGCAACUGGAGAUCUCCCAACUGGACCAUGUCACUGUUAUGUUUAAUUUGCACUGUGCACAGUAGGUACCCAGUCAACGUUUGUCGAAUUCCAUGGACUGGGCCUUAUACCUCCGAGGAUUUUUCACAGCAGUAGCAUGUGCACAUGCACAGAACGAGAACACAACCAAUGCUUGUUUGCUGGUGAAGACCUGGUCUCAGUAUUUUGCCCAGGAAACCCUUUCUUCAUGGACAGCAUGAGGCAAGCUAUGGCCCUUGCUGUGGUCUCAGUGGUUCAGCACGGAAGAUGAAGAUGACGGGCAGUCUCAGAAUAUUAGCUUUAGAAGGGACUUUGGAUCCUUUUGAUUUUGGUAGGUGAAAUACUUUUUAAAAAUAAAGAAAACGGACUUUGGACAAAUGCUCUCAUUUUGUAAAUGAAAAAGUAGAGACAGGAAGAGUAACUGAUUUGUCCAAAAUCAAACAAAGUAAAUUGUGUUGCAUCCUCUCCAUCCGUAACCACCUUCGCCUUCCCUAACUGCUCCAUGUGGCCUGGGAAAGUCCACUUCACCUCGUCUUAGAGGUGGGCUUCUGAUUCUAGCUAAGCCAACCCCCA
rnacentral:lncRNA from 10 species